GCCAGGUUAGUGUAGUGGUAACACGUCAGAAAGAAGUCCCAGGUUCGAAUCCUGGACCAGGCA
rnacentral:tRNA from 1 species